AGACGAAAAGUCCCCAUUGAGCUUUACUAAAGACUUAUAUGGCUCGAAUAACUUAAAUAAAAAGUUUAGAUAAUGUGGGAUCCGUUUUUGGUUAAUGAGACACCACUCUUUUAUUUUAAGAGAACUAACCUUAUAGGGAGAAUGUAAGUUAGAUAGUUUGGUUGGGGCGACCACCUUUUAAAAGGUAACGAAGGUGAGCUUAAGGUCCGUAGUUAAUAGCUAGAGGCCUGACUGCAAGGGGGACACCCCGAGCAGACACAUCCUUAAGGAUGUGGGUUAUAGUGACCCGUCAUCUUAGAGUGGAAUAGUUGACGAUCAACGAAUAAA
rnacentral:rRNA from 1 species